rnacentral:misc_RNA from 1 species
GGGAAUUAUUUAGAUGACACUGACAAUCCAACAGACAUAUUCUCUCAAUUUUCUGACCAACUUGACAUAAAAAAAUGACAGAAAUAAAAAGGAAAAACAGGGGGGAAAAAUGUUGAGAGUGGGCAACUAGUAGUGCAUUUAGAUUAUGACCUAUGUAUGGAGGAGUUCAAACUAAUAGCUAACAGAAGCAUGCCAUACACACAUGAGCAUAUGGCAGAGAUGCAGAAAUUUUAUUAUACAAAUUUCCACUCAAAGGAUACAGUAAAGCAACUUGGAAGUAUACUGUCUGACUUGUCAACAAUGUCUCUUCCAGUGAUAACUGCAUCGCAUAUGCUUUAUCGCAAUCAACAGCUGGAAGC